UUGUAUGUAUGCCUUUAGUGUACAAGAUGCAUCACGCAUUCGUUAAACUCAAGUGUCUGUAGAGCAGAGCGGAUGUAUGUAAAUAAACUAUAGCCCGCAAUGCCUGCUGCCUAAUUGAUUACGAAUUGCAAUACGAGUACAUGACUCUUUGUUUCAAUCGUAUCGCAAGGCAUGCAUUUUCAACUCUAUGUAUUACACUAAUUAUGUACAUAGUAUAUGGACCUUCAACACAAUAAUACAUUAAAUGAUAUAUAUGUACAUAUGUAGGUAUAUCAUGUCUUCAAAUACUAUGAAUCAUAUUACAUACAAAAAAGAAUGUACGAUAUGUAUGUAAGUCUGCGCAUGUAUAUAUUUACAAUUUCUUAUAAACAUCGGUGUAGUCUGACACACCGAGUUGAUAAUUUGCGCAACAGUGCAAACCCCUUUUGGCCUAAUAAUAUACAUGGUAUUUAUAAAAUUGCUUGAAAAUAAGUUCUCAAGUAUAUCUGAGCAAUGUCCAAAAUUAAUGCAAUCAGCCCUUCCAUUUAUUAGCCCCAAAUAUGCCCUGUAUAGUGAUAUCCAACUUUUCGGUGUGUGAUAUUUCAAUGAAAUUAAGUGGACACGUUUUCUUAAAGGAAUUGGUCUUGGUCUAAACCCAAUAUUACUAAUAUAAUGAAUAUCAAUGUUUUGGUUGACGUUUUUACAUGUUGUUGUUGUUGUAGUGGCAAAAUUUUGCCGAGUUGACAGUACUUGGUCGGAAAAAAUCCGCGCCCGUUCCGGUUACGUAGACCCGACUUGGUUGGGAACGUUUUUCACAUCAACUCAAUAUACUAAAUUUAGCCUCUUCGGUUGAGUUUAUGUCAUAUAUAUCUCAUUUGAGGAUGAUUUUAGUUUAAUUUUCGCUGACAGAAAAUAAAACACAGUGAUAAAACUAAGGCAGUCUAGGACCUUCACCAAAAGGUUAUAUGAUACCAAAUUUGAUUGUAAUCCAUUCACGAUGUCGUCGAACAAUGAAGUUGAACCCUUUUGCUACAUUUUUUAAUAUUGCCAACACCUAAAGUAUUUAGUCGGCUUUGAUCUUUGCAAGUUGCAAGAGUAUAAAAUGUUCGGUUACACUCAAACUUGGCCAUUCGUUAUUUGUUUAACUAGCUUCUUUAUCUAGUUGUAUAUUUCAACAUAUUUUCCGGUGAUUUCAAUUACUCUACUUUAAACAUAUAGCCUAUUAUACAAACCUAUGCACAUACCCACUUUAGAUAGAAUGAAUAGAAUACCCACUUUACAGCAAAACGCGUUUUUCUUUGCCGUAAAAAUUUACUAUUUAUUUGAGUAUUGAUUUUUUAAUUUUUCAAUUUAACGCACAAUCAUAUACACAAGCAGCGACAUACAUUCAUCCGUCCACGAUAUUUUACACUUCCGUAUCAAAAUGAAACGUAAAUGGAGAUAAUAGCGAGAAAUAAAAUGAAACAUGUUUUCAUAAAUAAUCUACAAAAGGCGACUGAUUAAAUUGAAAAUAACAAUGUUAAGAAGAUUUCUCUACAUUGGAGUCAUUUAUUUUUAGUAUUACACGUGUGUAUGUAACAUUAUUAUUACAAAGUAUAUACAUGUAUAGCCUAAUUAAGAGAAAAUAAACGAAAUAAAACUUAGCAUGUAAUGGCUAUCAAGCAAUUGUAAUAUGAAAUUUAAUUGGGGUGAGAAAAUGACUCACUGUAGAAACCACCCUUUAGGCGAGAAAAUUCAAUGAAUCACUUCUACGACUACAUACACAAAUAAAAAGAAAGGAAAUACGCUUCAAUCAUUCAUAUUAUACAUAGCAUUCAGAAGGCCCGAAAUAUAAAUUUAGUUGUGUUGGUCAACGAGUUUGCAGAAUGAAUAUCGAAACAAUUUAUAGCGUUUCACUUAGCAUUCCUUUAAGUAAACUGAUUAUACAUGAUUCAUAUUUACGUUUUUUUGAUGAUUUUAGUUACGUAAAUAAAUACAUACAUAUGUAAAUUAAAAUUUUUAUUAGUUUAUUAUUUUUAUAUAAUACUUAGUUUUGCAUUUAGUUAAUUCGUAGUUAUUUUUUUUUUGUUUUAUUAAAAUAAGUUCAAAAAUUGCUUUAAGAGAAUCAAAUUGAAAUGAAGUGUGAUUAAAACGAUUGAUAUAAAUUAUUGAAACCUCAAGAUAAAAAUGACGUUUACAAAACAAAGUUAGUUUAAAAGCUCGAUUCAACAAAAAGCAAUCAAUUUAUUUUAUACGGCUUGUAGAUUAAUAAAGCUUUUGAAAAAAAUAACGGGAGAAAUCGAAAUUCUUCAAAUGAUUUCAUUCUACAUGUCAGUCGGCACACAAUAAUAUCAUAUCAAAUAACAAUGAUAAUUGUAUUUCUAGUGGUCACAGGCCAUGAUAUACAUAUCUCCAUUGUUACUUAAUUUCCGACACUUUGUGGUGUUUGUAAAUUUACGUCCAUUAUGCAUCUGACAUUAUUGUUAUUCAAAGUAGUUAGUUUUGUAUAAGAAAAAAAUAAUAAAUAAAAUUGUACUUCAACCCUGACAAAUUUGAACGAAAGUAUUUAUAAACGAAUACAUAUGUAUGUAUAUAUGUACAAACAUAUAUAAAAUGUAUUGUAUAUUGUACAUAUAUUAAAUAUAGUUAUUUCUUUAAAAUUAUUCACAUAUAAUUCAUUUCAUUAGAUAUAUUCAUAUAUGUAGGAACUAAAAAAGUAGAUAUAGGAGAUUCUUAAUAAUCAAAAGCCGCAUCAAAAGUGCUUGAGUCUACGGAGUCUACAAUAUCAAAGAAUUAUGAAGUGCGCUGCCAAGAGUGCAUUCUUUUUUUUUUUUGCUGCCCAUUCUUCGUCGUUGUUAUGAAUUAUUGCUUUAAAUUCUCAACAUAAUUUAUCAUAACCAUUUAGGAAGUAUUCAAAUAGUAAUAUCCGCUUUACUAUACUACAUAAGUACAUAUUUAUGUAUGUUUAUUCAUAUAUGUAGAUACAAUACAUACUACUCUACUUUAUGAGAAUCUGCCAAAAUACUUUCCUCGUUACAAUUUUUUAGAGAAAAUUUAAAAAAAGCCUAAAAAUAAAAGUUUCCAAAUAUUAGAACUAAUUUAAUAAUGUUCCUUAAUAUUACAAGAAAGAAAUAAUAUAUUUUCAAGAGGAACACAUUUUAGUAAAUAAACUACAUUUUAAAAUAAUUAUUAUGCAUAUUUACCGCACAUUUUUAAUAGGAAAAAAUAAAAACAUUACUUAAAACAGGGCCGAGUUGGUGUUUGUAAUUAUUAUGUAUGUAUGUAUAAAUAAACAUGUAUGCUUAACGGUUAUUCAACCCACUGUAUAUUGAUAAAUAUAUGUACAGAAACUUUCAUAUUUGACACUAAAAUACUUUAUUACUUCACUUUUUUCGUAGAAUUAAAAAUACUAUUUUUUGUUUGGUUUAUGGCGACUGACCACAGUAUAUGAAAUAAAAUGGCUAAUACUAUUCAAUAAUUCAUAACCAUUCCCACUACUUCCGGUUGGCUGCAUUCAAUUUUCCCCGUUUUGAUAUCUAUUGCGGUGGUGGAUAAAACAAAUAUGUGUAUAGAUACAUAUUUAUUUAUAUGCUUAUAUACGAAACGUUAUGUGGUAUGUAAACUGCGGUAAAACGAAUUAUAUUCAUAAUAGUGACUAAUUGCCGUUACGACACCGCCUUGACAUAUUGCUUUUGGAAGAUAACCAUGUUUUAUUUCAGUAGGGAAUCAUAAAAAGAAUACAGUUCAUUAAAGUUAUAAAUUGGCAAAAAAAAAAGGAAGUUAGUACAAAGGCCUCCUAUGUCGCUUAUACCGCAAAAAACCGUUGCAUCAAUUUUUGUUUUGUCAACUUAUUAAAAUAAAAUAAAAAAGGAGCUAGUACGUAACUUUCAUAUGAUUGACCUUCACAUGGAGUUAAGCGCCAAAAUAUGAGCAGCAGAAAAGCCGACAAGUUAACCGGCAGUCAAAAUAAUGUACGAAGACAAACACGCUUCUAUAUGUAUGAUCAUAUACGCAUAUUUGUAUAUGUAUGUAUGUACAUAUAACUAUUUAUGUAUAAUUUAUCUAUAGCAUAUGUACAAACAUACAUAUUAGAACCGGCAAAUAGAUGCCACACGAGUUCAUGUGAUUGAACUCGUAAGCGAAAAGUCCAACGCAAAGCAUUUUCUUCCACGUUCAUUGACCAAUAUAAUAAAUGUACACACACAUAUGUGUGGCACGUAUAUAUGUAUGUAUUUAUUAUAGUAUAUACGGAUAACUAACGUCUAAGCCUCAAUCAAUCUCGCCCCAGCUAAGAAAUGGCACAGCAAAAAAAUUAAAUUUUUUUAAUUAACCAAUUUUAGAAAAAAUAUAAAUUAUAACUAGAUAUCAAUCUUAAAAUUUUGCAAUUGACCUCUCUUAUUAUUACCUCUCAACAAUAAAUCUGAAGGAGCACUAAAUAUUUUUUUCAAUAUACUAACUCAAAAUUUCUUAUGAAUGUUGUACAAUUUUUUUUUACAAAAAUUAUUACGCUAUUUGAGUAUAUGCACAUAUGUACAUACAAAAAAUAUAUGUCAUGAUCACAUUGCUUUACUCAAAUCAAGAAAAAAAAUUCCGAUGAAAUUUAAAUUUUGCACUCCGAUGAAUAGUUUUUAAUAUUUUUAUGUAUUGAAAUUUUAAUUAUAAUCGUAAUUUUAUACUUUGGAAUUUACUUUAAGGGCAGAAUUCUAUAUCUCAAGGCAAGUAGAAUGCAAUUCAUAAAAUAAUUAUGUAACCAUAAACAAAGUAAGUGGUUGAUACAAUAUUAUUUUCAAGUUCGAGCUGCAUUAUUCUCAAGCCUAUGAAAAAAAGUCAACCACAAUAGAUUAUUGAUAAACAAUAUAAUAUAUCCAAUCGUUUCUAGAUCAUAAGUUGUUUAUUAAUAUAACUGAUCACAUUACAAUCUUGUUUGUGUAAUCAGCCUUAUGUGUAUAAGGCUUUAUAUGUAUAAGCUUUUAAAUAAAUUUGGUAUAAACAUAUACAUAUGAGGUGUAUCUACACACAAAUUAUAAGUUCAUACAUCAAUGGCUAAAAAAAACAUUGAAGUAAAACUUUAUUAUCUGUGAUGGUUUAAUAAGGGUUAAUAAUUAAUAAACAUAUGUAUAUACCAUAUGUACAUACAUACCGCAUGAUUUACAGUUUUUUGUGUUUUAUUGUUUUAGCAAUGAAACUUUCGUUGCUGGUAUAAUUACUAGAUUAGGAGAAACUAAAACUAAUCGUUUUUUGCAAAAAGUUUUUUUUUUGUAUAUUCCACAGUCCCACAUUACUCAUUAAUAUUCAAACAUACAAAUAUCAAGAAACAUAAAUUAAACAUACAUACUUAGGUAUUUAAUAACACUCUUAAAACAAAAAAAAACGUUAACUUCGGUAGCACCGAAGCUAAAUACCCUUCGCAAGUAACAAAAUUUUUAUACAGGAACUUGGUUUAAUCGAUCAGUAUUAUCAGCAGACAACUUUUAAAGGAACUGUCAGAAAUUUCAAUUGACAAUAAAAUAGAAUCAUGGAACCAAAACUAGUAAGUAGUAUACUAUUAUAUUUAAAAAAGUCCAUAUACAUAAGUUACAAUUUUGUUGCAAAACCUUUAUUUACAGGCGCACUUUCCGGCGUUUCCACUAGAGCUUUACAGACUGAAAUCGGUAUUGAAUACCACGCCUCUUGGACUUUUAUCCAUAAUUCUUCCUUAUUUCGUGGUUUAAUGGGUCUCAAAUUUUCCUUUACCAUCUUCCACAGCCAAGUCUUGACCACACAACAGAUAUGCUUCGGGUUAUAGUUAUACUGGAACUGCCAAACCAAAGUAAAGAAGCAUUUCAUCCGUUCCCAAGACAGUUCCGAAACGGACACGGAUUUCUUUAUCCGGCCAAGUGAUAAUGGUCCAUGAUUUCCCAAAUCCAAAACAGCGGCCCAACUCCGUAACACGAAAAACAUCCCCAUUACAUAUUUUUGUCGUCGAGAGGGGAUUCAUUUCAACAUUCUUCGGACGUCGAACCCAUCUUUCCCAUCGCCACCUGCCAUAUUUAUUUUCUUGACCGGUCCAAUUGAUAUUCGCUGAAGCAAAGCCAAUCGUAUUGUUCCGUGGUCUUUUUGUUAACAUUGGGGACUUUUUUGGAAUCUUAUAUAUACAAGUAUUAUAUAAUUUUUGAAAUUCCCUUUUGGAUAUAACGGUUAUUUUACGAAUUUUUAUAAACUUCAGCUCUGCCGCGAUGCAGGGCUUUCUUUGGCCCAUUUCUUCUACAAAUAAUACUUAAUUGUAACAAAAUAACAAGUUUUAACAAAUAUUCUAAGAUUAUAUACUCACAAUAUAAUUUUUACUAAAUAACGUCUUUAAUUGAUUUUUUAAUCCUUGAUUCUAUUUUUUUGUCACGUCAACAAAAAUAACAAUAAAAUGAAACAGAGCUACCAUCAUGGUGUUUUAAAAGAUAAAUAUUUUAGGAAUCGAUUACAGGUAAAACAUAUCCGAAAUUUUAGGAUUAGAUCAAUUAUUUCAGAAGAAGACAUUUUAAUUGCUAAUAAAAUACAUUAAAUAUACAAAUGGAGACAUUGAAGUGCCAACGCCCAUCCCUUUUGUACGACCACAUUAAAACAAAUCCUUUCCUUGACAUCCCCAUAGAUGUCUUCGAUUACAGAUAAUUUCCAGACAAUCGAUACAGCACAACAACAUAACAAUUAAAUUACACUUCUCAAAGCAGAAUCCUCUAAUCCUUACGGAGUGUACACUUAAAACUUUAAUAGUAAGGAGUUGCUUGUUGACUAUGUUGAGUAAUUACUUUUGGGUUUUAUAAUAAUCGUGUAGUUUCGGCAAGCAAAUAACUCAAAUCUUUACUACUUAGUUAACUCUAGUUAUCAGUGGUUUAGGUACAUAUGUACCUAUAACUAGUUUAUAUUAGAAAAUCACAUCUAUAGAUUAUAUGUAACUCUACCCUAUAAUAUGAAUAGUCAUAAUAAAUAUUCAGCUUAUACUGGGCCGUUAUUUUUAUUAAUUAUGAAAUUAUAUUUUUAUUUAAGAAUAUCAUUAUUUGAACCAAUACAUAAUUAUUUGACUAUGUGUGUUAACUAUAUUCACUUCUACUUUUUACAUGCAAAUAGCUAGCUAAAUAUUUUGCGCAAAUUACAUAUAAACUUGGAUACAUACAUAUGUAUGUAUGGAAACUUAUUUUGAGGAAUAACGCCCUUUUGUUGAAUGAAUACAAAGAAAACACAAACAAAAAGGACCAAAAAGGAAUAAGCGAUUGCACGAAUAAACGAUAAAUAACGAGUAGAAUGAACGAACUUCGCAUAUGGACGCAACAAACGAGUGAAAAUACACACGAAGUAUUAAGGCGAAGGCGACAGCGAUGGUCGACUUCAAUUCGGUGCAAUACACCAGCAACAACAAAGCCGUAUAAUCCAACUUGCUGCUAUACCGGCGCCUGUGACUUCGCCUUUGGCGACGACGCGACCGCAACUCUGGCAGAGCUGCGGAAGGCACACCCAAAUUGAACACAUUUCACAGCUCUUAAAACGAUAAUGAACGACAGGAAUCAAGGAGGGGUGGAGAUGGCUUUUGCACGGCCGUCCGUCGACAAUCCACUUUGUCGUGUUGUAUUUCUAGUAGUACGAUGCUACUUAGUAAUGUUCCGGUUAUAACUACUUACUAAAGGUAGAAGUAAUUUAAUUUACUUUUACUAUAACAUCAAUUUUUCUUCAGUUAAACAAAGAAAAACGUAUUAACUUUGAAAGUGCAUUGCUAUAGCUUUGCCACUCCGGUAGCUAACUUUUUCUUUAAUUACACAUAUCGUUAUACAGAAUUUUCUUUCAAUUCUCAUACACUACUCCUUUUAUAAACUUCACUUUUCAUACCAUUCUUAACCAAAGCAAAUUCUAAAACUUUAAUUUUGAAAAUCAAAUUUUUCUAAUUACCUGCUCCUUUCAGAUUAUAUUAAACUUAAUUCUAUUCGGCGUCUUUAUAAUAAAUAUCACUUUUCACCCGAAUUUCGAAACAACUCCAAAAACUUUCUUUUCUAUAUUCGUUUUCUCUUCACACUUCACAGUGUUUCAAACAAAAA